CAUAACAGCAACAAUGCACGGUUCAUUUGCAAGACCAUUGUUAUUCGUAAUCUUUGAGCUAUUUCCCCGAAUAUUCCGUUUCAUAAAGUGUUGUCAUCGAAAAUUCCAGCGUUCAGAUGAGGAUACAUUUAUGAUCUCCAGCUGCUGGUGGAUUCUGUGAUGAAAGCUCGACUCAUUCUGAUGGCAUAUAAAAGGAACCAAAG